rnacentral:rRNA from 1 species
GAUCACACUGUCUCCCGCCCCUAAUCAGUGAAACUGAUCUCCCCGUGAAGAAGCGGGGAUUUUUUUAUAAGACGAGAAGACCCCAUGGAGCUUUAAACCCGAUGACACCCCUGCCCUAUUUAGACCUACGCAUUCGUUGGGGACCUGUUCACUCGGUUUUAGGUUGGGGUGACCGCGGAGUAAAACAAAACCUCCACGAAGAAUGGGCUUACCCCUCUUAUCCAAGAGAGACAUCUCUAAGAAUUAGUAAACUAACAUCUAAUGAUCCGAUUUUUUCGAUCAACGAACCAAGUUACCCUGGGGAUAACAGCGCA